AGUGUUUGAUCAUGGCUCAGAUUGAACGCUGGCGGCAUGCUUAAUACAUGCAAGUCGAACGGUAACAGAUUCUUCGGAAUGCUGACGAGUGGCGGACGGGUGAGUAAUACAUAGGAAUCUGCCCAUGUAGUGGGGGACAACUUGGGGAAACUCAAGCUAAUACCGCAUAAUUCCUACGGGAUAAAGAGGGCCACUGCUUGCAAGCUCUUGCUACUGGAUGAGCCUAUGUCGGAUUAGUUAGUUGGUAAGGUAAUGGCUUACCAAGACAGCGAUCCGUAGCUGGUUUGAGAGGAUGAUCAGCCACACUGGGACUGGGACACGGCCCAGACUCCUACGGGAGGCAGCAGUAGGGAGUAUUGGACAAUGGGCGCAAGCCUGAUCCAGCAAUGCCGCGUGUGUGAAGAAGGCCUGCGGGUUGUAAAGCACUUUCAAUUGGGAAGAAAGAUUAUGAGUUAAUACCUUAUAAUAUUGACGUUACCAAUACAAGAAGCACCGGCUAACUCUGUGCCAGCAGCCGCGGUAAUACAGAGGGUGCGAGCGUUAAUCGGAAUUACUGGGCGUAAAGAGUACGUAGGUGGUUAAAUCAGUCGGAUGUGAAAGCCCCAGGCUUAACUUGGGAAUUGCAUUCGAUACUAUUUGACUAGAGUACGGUAGAGAGAAGUGGAAUUCCUAGUGUAGCGGUGAAAUGCGUAGAUAUUAGGAAGAACACCAGUGGCGAAGGCGGCUUCUUGGAUCGAUACUGACACUGAGGUACGAAAGCGUGGGGAGCAAACAGGAUUAGAUACCCUGGUAGUCCACGCCCUAAACGAUGAGAACUAGAUGUUGGG
rnacentral:rRNA from 1 species